rnacentral:rRNA from 1 species
UACGAAGGGGGGCUAGCGUUGCUCGGAAUCACUGGGCGUAAAGCGCACGUAGGCGGACUCUUAAGUCAGGGGGUGAAAUCCUGGAGCUCAACUCCAGAACUGCCUUUGAUACUGAGAGCCUUGAGUUCGGGAGAGGUGAGUGGAACUGCGAGUGUAGAGGUGAAAUUCGUAGAUAUUCGCAAGAACACCAGUGGCGAAGGCGGCUCACUGGCCCGAUACUGACGCUGAGAUACGAAAGCGUGGGGAGCAAACAGGG